AUCGACAAAAUCUCUUCAAAUUACCUGACGACAAUUUUCGAUAUAAAUAUCGAUUUACGUUUUUCGAAAUAAUAGUCAAUUGUAUGCAUGAUGAUAAUCCAGGAUGAUCCUAUGAUGCUCAACUGGGCUCGCCAUAAAAUUCAAAACUAUUUUGGCGUUUUGCACGCCGUAUCUCUGCCAGUAAUAUGCAAUGUUUGUAAAAGACUGGAAGCUUGCUAAAAUGUACAAAAAUGCCUAGAUGAGAAAGGGAACAAGAUUGUGUGAUGAAGAACAGUGUCCAACAUGUAUCAGUGCAUUUGACUGUAUAAAUAGACAUCGGAAUAAAAUAUAAAUUUCUACUUU
rnacentral:lncRNA from 1 species